GGAGACCCAGGCGGGAGGCGCGGAAGCAUACAGUCUGCGGGGACAAGGACUGAACGGGGUAGUGGGAGCCAGGUCCCUGGUUCCCUUCACGCCCCCACCCCCAGCCUCAGCUCUGUCUGGGUGGAACGAAUGUCUGCUAAUGAACUAAACAAACAGGUCUCUUAAUCUUAUCAUGGAGCUGACCCAGAGACUGGCACAGAUAUCCAAAGUAUCAUAAUUGGCAGGUCAGAAUUAAAACUACAUACAUCAUGGUGACUUUAUAGCUGAGGCAAAGUGGAGCUCAAGUGUUACUUUCCCAGUAAGCAAAUCAUAAUGAAGUAUCAUGCUGGUGACUAAUUUAACUAACAUUGUCCAGGAAAUUGCUGUUGUCCAGGAAGAGAAGAGUUGAGCCGAGUGUCAACUACUAGGCUUCUGGCACCAUCCUGCACAAGAAAUUGGAGCAUAAGGGACAUUUCCACAUUCUAACUUUACAUGAAGACUCAGGACUUUGAAAGCCCAUGAGAAAGUUUUCAUAAGGAUUUAUCCACAAUUUCUUCUUUGAUUUGCUCAGAUGUGAAGCAGGAAACCUUCCAGACAUCCUGAACCUCUGAACUUUUUGUGGAUUGCCCAUCAACACAGGCAAACAUUCAUGAAGCAAUUCAAAAAUCUCUUCUCACUGCAUUAUAAGCAUGUCCUUACGUUAUUCAUAUAUCAAGAGCAUGCCCAUUCCCAACCCACAAUGGAAUGUGAGCCUAAUUACAUGUUCCUUUGGAAUAAGAUCUCACCAGCCCAGGAGUGUCAGAAACCCUCUAUCAUAUAUACGUAUCUUGUUUCCAAAAUGAUCUUCCCAAGCCACCCUAACAGGCCCCCUUCAGAAUGCUUCCUGCUGACAAGUGAAUCUGCUUUUUGCCUUUCACCCAAUCUCAGCUCAUGCUUUCUCUGUGAAAAUAUCACAGACCACAUCUGACAGUGGUCCAGCUAAUUAAUGUACUCCAAUGUCUAGCAAGCAUUUGACAGGAAAAAUAAUCUAUACAGUAUUUAUUGCAAAAUCUUCACCAAUGUGACAAAGAUGAAUGUAAACUUUACAUAAUCAUUUUUCAUUUGUUAUCCAAAGUUGAAAGUGAUUUUCAAAUGCUAACUUUAAAAUUAUGAUGAGGAAGAUAACAGCUCUGCUUUAAAACUGCUUGGCAAUGGAAUUUCUAUAGUAUA
rnacentral:lncRNA from 1 species